AUUGAACGCUGGCGGCAUGCUUUACACAUGCAAGUCGAACGGUAACAGGGAGCUUGCUCCGCUGACGAGUGGCGAACGGGUGAGUAAUGCGUCGGAACGUGCCGAGUAGUGGGGGAUAACGCAUCGAAAGGUGUGCUAAUACCGCAUACGAACUGAGGUUGAAAGUGGGGGACCUUCGGGCCUCACGCUAUUCGAGCGGCCGACGUCUGAUUAGCUAGUUGGUGAGGUAAAGGCUCACCAAGGCGACGAUCAGUAGCGGGUCUGAGAGGAUGAUCCGCCACACUGGGACUGAGACACGGCCCAGACUCCUACGGGAGGCAGCAGUGGGGAAUUUUGGACAAUGGGCGCAAGCCUGAUCCAGCCAUGCCGCGUGUCUGAAGAAGGCCUUCGGGUUGUAAAGGACUUUUGUCCGGGAGCAAAUGCUGGUGGCUAACAUCCACCGGAGCUGAGAGUACCGGAAGAAUAAGCACCGGCUAACUACGUGCCAGCAGCCGCCGUAAAAC
rnacentral:rRNA from 1 species